GACCACUCUGGUGACCUAAGUGGUUAAAGUGUACGCUUUGGAUGUGGGAGGUCGCGGGUUCAAACCCUGGUCGAGUCA